CAUGUAGGCGGGAAUCUAAGUCUGUUGUGAAAAUGCGGGGCUCAACCCCGUAUGGCGAUGGAAACUGGAUUUCUUGAGUGCAGGAGAGGAAAGGGGAACUCCCAGUGUAGCGGUGAAAUGCGUAGAUAUUGGGAGGAACACCAGUGGCGAAGGCGCCUUUCUGGACUGUGUCUGACGCUGAGAUGCGAAAGCCAGGGUAGCGAACG
rnacentral:rRNA from 1 species